GGAUGUGUAUAAGGUAACGCAGUAAAGGAAUUGAAGAAUGCUCGGGAUGUGUAUAAGGCUAACACAGUAAAGGAAUUGAAGAAUGCUCGGGAUGUGUAUAAGGCUAACACAGUAAAGGAAUUGAAGAAUGCUCGGGAUGUGUAUAAGGCUAACACAGUAAAGGAAUUGAAGAAUGCUCAGGAUGUGUAUAAGGUAACGCAGUAAAGGAAUUGAAGAAUGCUCAGGAUGUGUAUAAGGCUAACACAGUAAAGGAAUUGAAGAAUG